GCAUAUCAAUAAGCGGAGGAAAAGAAACCAACAGGGAUUGCCUCAGUAACGGCGAAGUGAAGCGGCAACAGCUCAAAUUUGAAAUCUGGCCUCGGCCCGAGUUGUAAUUUGUAGAGGAAGCUUUUGGUGCGGCACCGACCGAGUCCCCUGGAACGGGGCGCCAUAGAGGGUGAGAGCCCCGUAUGGUUGGACGCCUAUCCUCUGUAAAGCUCCUUCGACGAGUCGAGUAGUUUGGGAAUGCUGCUCAAAAUGGGAGGUAAAUUUCUUCUAAAGCUAAAUAUUGGCCAGAGACCGAUAGCGCACAAGUAGAGUGAUCGAAAGAUGAAAAGCACUUUGAAAAGAGGGUUAAAUAGCACGUGAAAUUGUUGAAAGGGAAGCGCUUGUGACCAGACUUGCGCCUCGUCGAUCAUCCGGGGUUCUCCCCGGUGCACUCGGCGGGGCUCAGGCCAGCAUCGGUUUUCGUGGGGGGACAAAGGCACCGGGAACGUAGCUCCUCCGGGAGUGUUAUAGCCCGGGGCGUAAUGCCCUCGCGGGGACCGAGGACCGCGCUUCGGCAAGGAUGCUGGCGUAAUGGUCAUCAGCGACCCGUCUUGAAACACGGACCAAGGAGUCAAGGUUUUGCGCGAGUGUUUGGGUGUAAAACCCGCACGCGUAAUGAAAGUGAACGUAGGUGAGAGCUUCGGCGCAUCAUCGACCGAUCCUGAUGUAUUCGGAUGGAUUUGAGUAGGAGCGUUAAGCCUUGGACCCGAAAGAUGGUGAACUAUGCUUGGAUAGGGUGAAGCCAGAGGAAACUCUGGUGGAGGCUCGCAGCGGUUCUGACGUGCAAAUCGAUCGUCAAAUCUGAGCAUGGGGGGCGAAAGACUAAUCGAACCAUCUAGUAGCUGGUUACCGC
rnacentral:rRNA from 1 species